UGAAGCACAAGGUUUCCCUGUCCCAUUUUCCCAGAAAUAGACUUCAGGUCAGCUGCCUGCCUGCCCUCACCUAUUAGAUGCCUACUGCCUGUCUCUCCUUGCCUCCCUAAGGUGGGAGCGCUUCAAAAGAGACCUACAAAUGUUUUACUUAUGAAUUUGCCUCAGCUGAUUUUCCAAAAGGGAGAACAGAAGAUGGCUUCCUUACCGUUCACCACACCUGAGGAACCCUCAUAAUGAGGUGUGGCAGGAUCAGAAGUGAAGGUUUACAUCACCUCCCCCAGGCCUCAUAGGCAGGCCUCUUAGUCUUGAGUGGACGUGGUGAAUAAAGAGGAAGCAUUUCUGAGUUCUGAAUUGGCUGCAAGUUUUAACAGUCAAAUGCAGAAUGUGUGAAAGGACAUAAACACUGCAACACUAAAUCACCCUCAGUGAUCAGGAACAUUCUGGUUGGGGACAACCCUGGAUGCCACUUGCCAACAUUUGAGGCUUAAAACAAAACAAAAAUGACCAGCUGUUUGGGAAAUGUAACUAGAGUUUCAAGCCUGACAUGUUUUGUUAGCUGCUGUUUAUGCAGAUCGACCAAACUGGUGAUGAGAAUGAUGGCUUGACACUGUAUGCCAGUAGAAGGGAAGGAGUUGGUUACAGAGCUUUGGAGAGGAGAGAUAUUCUUCAUUCUUUCUUUGAGAGAAACACAUGUGUUUCCAGGCUGUCUUUGGAGAGAGAGAGACCCAGGGACAGAGGAGAAAAAAAAAAUAACAACAAACUUUGGGAAGUGGAAGAUAUGUAGAAAAGAUGGAUCCCCAACAUGUUACUGAUUUCCAACUUGCCUCCCUAGAGAUUUCAGGGAAUCUUGCUUUGGGUAAACCUGGAGGGCCUCUCUCUUGAUUGAGCUGAGAUUUUUCUCUGGGAAAAUACAUGCUAUGACUUUUCUGCAGUAUACUCUAAUCUACAUAACCUUUUUUGAUUUCUGUUUGCUGUAUGUUUGAAUAAAUUUAUUUACUUCUUA